UACUCUUGUUUAGCUGCUUCAAAUAUUUUUAUUUUAUUUUUUGGGCUGAUUUACAAUCUCGUGUUUGAAGUAUACAUAUGGCAUCUCCUUGUUUGGUGUGAAAGCUGCGCAAUGCUUGCAGGAGCUUCCUUGAUCAUUCCGAAUAUGAGCAUGGGAUGUUGGACAUUAUUGUUCAGAGUAUUCUGGUUGAUAGGAUGGGUUUUACUUGCUGAAAAGGACAGAUCCUAAGUUGCAAAUCCAAAAAUUGAAAUCUUGACUCACUUGAAGCAAUAGACAGAUGCAUACAGAACUUGUUUUUGACCAAGAACACUUUGGAGGUUAAAAGCCUGAUGGGUUAAAAGCAUGAUUCCCGAAAGUUCCAACAUCAAUGUACACAUUAAUAUUUUUUGGGUCCAAAAGAGCCAUGGUUUAAAUAAUGCAUACAUUGACAUUGAGAUGGAAUUACGCUAGCUUGCUUAUGGACAUCUUAAGGAUGCUUAGAAGAAAAUCAAAUACUGGAGUAUAUUGUCCUAUACUUAGAUUGGGAGAUGCAAGUCAAGGGGGUCAGCAUAUCAUGAGAAGCAACUAUGUCAAUGGAUCCAGUGGAAGUGUGACCGUGAGUUACAUUUUUAGCAAGAUUAGAGGUGGCUGUAGCUUUUCCUAAUGUGCAUUUUUUAUGGUGAAAUGCUUGUAUGGGACAAGUGUUCGAAUUGUUUCUCUGAGUUUGGUUCAAAUCAAGAAAUUGCCAAGGCAGCUAGGGAAGGACUUGACAGUGAUAGACACUAGACAGUUGUGCUUUUGGCAUUCAAAGGCUUGUCAACAGUGAUUGAUUGGUUCGGGAAAUUAGAACCCAUUUGUGAGAAAUUUAGUUGUGAGUAGGUACUGGAGCAUACAUAACAUCUGAAUAAUGGCUUAAUAGGAUGUGGAUAUCAGACAGACCGACCUUUGAUUCACUUUUCUAAAUUGUGGAUGCUUUACACUUUCAAAUUCUCAUUUUCACCUUUGGUGGAGCUGUUAGCAAGCCAGAUGAAACUUACUCUGAUGUCAUCAAAAAGAAAGGAAAUGCUAUUUGAAGACCAUAUUCAGUGGCUCAACUCUCUGCUCCUCUGAUGUGAGAUCUAUUGCAAAUGAUAUUGUCUCUUCGGUAACACAAAUAGUUUUCCUUGGAGCAUCUCCUUUUUGUCUCUCUGUUUGUGCAAAUCUCAACUCGAAAAUAUUGGUUCUUGUCAACAAAUAAGAGUUUACCUUGACAUUUACUAUAACCAGAUGUUGCAUUUGAUAUUCUUUAUUCUGGGGAUACCAGUGUCAUUCACCAAAGCAUAAAGGCGUGAGCUUCUUCGAAAAGUUGCGAAGCCUACAAAGGGUCAUUUGGAAAUCUUAGUACCUGAUGGGGGUCUUAGCACACGACAUCGUCCGGAUAGAGAAACAACUGUUGAUCUUAUACUGGGACAUCCUGAAUUUCUAAGAGUAAUACCUGACUUAGUUUGCUCGUGGACACGUCACAGGAGAGCCUUGUUGGUUGCUCAUUUGGAUGAUGUUGAAAGGUUCUUUAAGGAAACAAUCGAGAACAGGUGAGGCAUCCUAUCUGUUUUGGAAACUGCAUAAUGCUGUCUGAACUUAAUAAACUGCUAAAAUUGGGUGAAUGUAAUAACUUUAUUUCUUGUGCAAUGUUAAAUUUUAAUGGUGAAAGUUUGAAAAGGUCGCUCUUUCAUUAUGGCAAUUGAUGAUUUAGUUAUUCUCUAUUUUUCCUUGUUUGUUGUGGCUUUAGUUCUUCUUGCGAUUAUUUUAUGUAUAAACAUGUGGCUGUCACUUUAUUGUAUAUUAUUUCAAUAGGAUUUCAUGUGGCUUAAUUUUCUUAAAUUUUGGAUGCCAAAGUGCUGUUAGAUACAUAUUUCUGUCGAUCAACAUGGAAUGAAUUGGUGGGCUUGCUGGUUGAGUUCUUGAAGAUUUGGCAUCACUUUUACAGCCUAAAAUUCCUUCAUUGAUUCCGCAAUUUGUAUGUAUAUUUGCUUUCAUUAGAAGUGCUAGUCGUAUUAAUCAAGGUAUGUCUUCUUACAUAGAGAUGAAGGAAUUUUCUUGAAAGACCUUGGUUCCAAAUGGGAACCAGGUGAUCGGAGUGGAAAGUGGUUAAAGCUAAAGCCGAACUAUAUUCGUGCUAGCUCUGAUCUCAAUGUUUGUUGUCAUAGGUGAAUAUCUGUUUUUUUUUACUACGUACAGCUUAACAAUUUGAGGCAGUAUAUCCUUGAUUGCUUAGGCCAUAACAAUGUUUUCUUCUCAUCGUUCCAUCUGUAAGAGGAUAUUACGGCUCUGGGUGUUGUGGAGGGGAGGUGAUUACAGCUCUCAAACAUAAUCUGAUCCUUGAUCUGCAAUUAGUGCUGCUUUGGGUGGAACUUCUAUUGAUUCAUAUAGAAAUACAGGUAGCUCAAUUCUUGGUUGGUCUUGCAGAACGUCCUGCUUUAAAUACAUGUCCAAGACGGUACUUUCCUUCAGCGACCAUUCUCAUCUAUACCCUUGACUUCUUGGGUAUUAUAUUGCUGCAUCUGAAAUAUACUUCCAAGAAAAAGGUCAAUAGUUAUUCAUUUCAUGGACUUCUCUAUUUAUUUUAUUGGGUGAGCUUAUCUAUCAACAGUGGCAAUGCAGCUUGUUUCAACCUUAUGGUCGUAGGAUGGAUGAGGAACCACUUUAGAGUCUAAAUUAUAAAAGUGACUUGGAUUUGAUAUUGCUAUAUCUACUGCCCUCUAGUGGGUCUUCUUUUUAUUGCUAAAUCCUGAUCCCAGAGAGGAACUGGUGUAUUGAGGUUCGAGACAUCCAUCGCCAGGGGAAUGCUUGUGCCGAUUGGAUGGCGAGACGAGCUUUAAGCCUUUCCCUUGGCUCCCAGUUCUUUGUCCAGCCCCACAAGGGCUCAGAGGCACUUCUCAUGGGUGACGUAAUUGGGGUCUCCAUGCCCCGCCAUUGUACUCCUUAGUCGUUUCUUUCUUGUAUUGCAGGCUUCAGCCUCCCAAAGUACACGAAAAAAAAAAAAUCCUGAUCCCAGGAUCAACCAUUCUAAUAUAUCACAAAAUGAAGGAUAAUGGAUCUAACUGCAUCAAUAUAUUGCAGUUUCAUAUCCUUCUGCAGAGUUGGUACGGGGCUUUCAGAUGCUGUUGUGACCAAAUUAAAGCCACGUUUCAGGAAAUAUGAAAUACCCGAAGAAGGGACCCCUGAGCUUUCAUUAGGUUACCAAUCACUUGAAGGAGAGACCAGAUGUCUGGGUGGAAAGCCCUGAGAAGCGAGUGAUCUGAAAAUCUUUCCCUGACUGUACAAGCUUAUAUACUUGAACAUUAAUAUCAUGAUUUCUUUUUCUUUUCGUCAUUUAUGUUUUCCUGUUUGUUGCAGAUCUAUUGUACUUGCUAUCACCAGUGACAUAAGAACUAUCAGUUCUGAGGUAUAUCGGCAGUCUUAUGACAAGAAAGUACUUAUAUUGCUGUGAUUUGGUUAUAAGACAACCAGAACAGAAGAUCCAGCUGAGGCUUAUCCGGAUCAGAGGAGGUUGGGCCUUGAAGUUCAUUGGGGUGGUGGGAAAGCAAGCAAAAAGUCUUGCUCUCGCAGAUGCUACACACUUGGUAGUACUGAAAGUACCAGGAUUGACAGCGGGCUUGCAUGCACUAACUGAAAGGAAUGUCUUUAAAUUUUGUAAACAGUUCUCUUAGACAUUGUUCCGAGCAGUAGUAUGUGAUUGCAAAACUUGUCUCUAAUGAACUUCCCCCAAAAAAAAUUGUAUCUGUCUGCACAAAAGCACAAUUAUUUU